UAUAUGGCACCUACACUUCGUAAAAGCAUAGCCUUCGAGAUUUAUUCCUCUUACUCGCAUUACUCGGAGCUACGGUGCUCGAAGCCCUAGAACACGUCCUUGGAGCAUGGCUUGGAGGCUCUCGGAGGCAUACUCGGAGGCAUAGAGUUCAUAGAGUUUCAUAUUAGUAUAUUUUAGAAACUCUAUGCAUAGAGUUAGUAGAACAACUCUAGAGGAAAAGCUGGGCCGGAAAAGUGGGAACCUCUAGGGCGCCGCCCUGUUGCUACUGGUCAAUGUGGCCAGCGCAAUUACUAUUGAAAGAGCUGAGAACAAGUACAGGUCACCUUAUGCUUUGUCACCUAAAAACGCAUACCUGAUGGCUUUAUGAAGGUGGUACGUUAAUAUUAAGUUUACAGAAAGCGAUCGCUAAGUCCGUGACUUAUGUAAAUCACGAUGUACGCAUUCAUGCAAUAAAGGAUGACGCGAAUUUCGGUUUCGAAUCUGUUUUUUGGAUGCGUAGUAGUUUCGUUUGACAUGCGAUCGCGCGUCGACAUCGGACGCUAUGACACACUCGUGCCUUAUGUGCCACCGAAUCCCCGAAGUGGUCUGGCAUAUACCUUCACAUAUAUGCAAUGGCAAGCCCUUCCGUGUGUUCCAAAGACAAUGCCUACGCCUAGCCACAGCAGCUCCCUCAUACAGACUCCGCAAACCAAGAGGCCGUGGAGGCAAAUGCAGGCAGCCAGCACACCUCGAACAGCCACCUUGACUGCGGGUGUGUCACCCUAGUCGCCAAGGAAACAUUUGAGGGAAAGUGACAGGCAAUGUGAACAGCCACUCCUCCAUGUAAACAAUACUCUUUCUCUCGGAUGACUCCUACGCCUCACCACGCCAGCACACUUGUGCACAAAGAUGCCGCAGAGGCACGUGCAGGUCAGAGGCAAGAAGCAGUGGCACUGGUGUCGACAUUUACCCAAUUUCUUUUUCUUACACUGAGGCAGCCAGCACACCUCGAACAGCCACCUCGACUGCGGGUGUGUUAGUUGAUCCCUGUUGUACAUAUGCUCAUAAUAAACUUCAGUAAACUUGAACUUCAUAAUAAACUUGAAGGCAAAUGGUA